rnacentral:rRNA from 2 species
UACGUAGGGGGCUAGCGUUAUCCGGAAUUACUGGGCGUAAAGGGUGCGUAGGUGGCCCAACAAGUCAGAGGUGAAAGGCUACGGCUCAACCGUAGUAAGCCUUUGAAACUGUAGGGCUUGAGUGCAGGAGAGGAAAGUAGAAUUCCCAGUGUAGCGGUGAAAUGCGUAGAUAUUGGGAGGAAUACCAGUUGCGAAGGCGGCUUUCUGGACUGUAACUGACACUGAGGCACGAAAGCGUGGGGAGCGAACAGG